UGGGGAAUUUUGGACAAUGGGGGAAACCCUGAUCCAGCCAUCCCGCGUGUGCGAUGAAGGCCUUCGGGUUGUAAAGCACUUUUGGCAGGAAAGAAACGUCAUGGGUUAAUACCCCGUGAAACUGACGGUACCUGCAGAAUAAGCACCGGCUAACUACGUGCCAGCAGCCGCGGUAAUACGUAGGGUGCAAGCGUUAAUCGGAAUUACUGGGCGUAAAGCGUGCGCAGGCGGUUCGGAAAGAAAGAUGUGAAAUCCCAGAGCUUAACUUUGGAACUGCAUUUUUAACUACCGGGCUAGAGUGUGUCAGAGGGAGGUGGAAUUCCGCGUGUAGCAGUGAAAUGCGUAGAUAUGCGGAGGAACACCGAUGGCGAAGGCAGCCUCCUGGGAUAACACUGACGCUCAUGCACGAAAGCGUGUGGAGCAAACA
rnacentral:rRNA from 1 species